UGGGGAAUUUUGGACAAUGGGGGAAACCCUGAUCCAGCCAUGCCGCGUGAGUGAAGAAGGCCUUCGGGUUGUAAAGCUCUUUCAGUCGGAACGAAAUGGUCACGGUUAAUACCCGUGACAAAUGACGGUACCGGAAGAAGAAGCACCGGCUAACUACGUG
rnacentral:rRNA from 1 species